rnacentral:rRNA from 1 species
ACUGCGUGAAGGAUGAAGGUUUUCGGAUUGUAAACUUCUUUUAGCGGGGAGUAAUCUUGAAAGUACCCGCUGAAUAAGGACCGGCUAACUACGUGCCAGCAGCCGCGGUAAUACGUAGGGUUCAAACGUUAUCCGGAAUUAUUGGGCGUAAAGAGUUCGUAGGUGGUCUUAUAAGUUGAGUAUAAAAGCCCUCGGCUCAACUGAGGAAUUGUACUUAAAACUAUAAGGCUUGGGGUUUGCAGGGGCAGAUGGAAUUUCUGGUGUAGCAGUGGAAUGCGUAGAUAUCAGAAAGAACACCAAUGGCGAAGGCAGUCNNNNNNNNNNNNNNNNNNNGCCGUAAACGAUGCACACUAGGCAUUUGGAGUAUCGACCCUUCGAGUGCCGAAGCUAACGCGUUAAGUGUGCCGCCUGGGUAGUACGGCCGCAAGGCUAAAACUCAAAGGAAUUGACGGGGACCCGCACAAGCGGUGGAACAUGAGGUUUAAUUCGAUGGUAAGCGAAGAACCUUACCAGGGCUUGACAUCUCGCGAAUCCCCUAGAAAUAGGGGAGUGCCUUCGGGAACGCGAUGACAGGUGCUGCACGGCCGUCGUCAGCUCGUGCUAUGAAGUGUCCCGUUAAGUCGGUUAACGAGCGCAACCCUUGCUGUUUGUUGUAUUUCUCAAACAGGACUGCCGGCGUUAAGUCGGAGGAAGGUGGGGAUGACGUCAGGUCAGCGUGGCUCUUACGCCCUGGGCGACACUCGUGUUACAAUGGGUAGNNNNNNNNNNNNNNNNNNNNNUUGAAGUCUGCAACUCGACUUCAUGAAGUCGGAAUCGCUAGUAAUCGUGGGUCAGCCAUACCACGGUGAAUACGUUCUCGGGUCUUGUACACACCGCCCGUCAAGUCAGGAAAGCCGGUAACAUCUUAAGCGCCCAACAGGGUGCCACGGUGGGAUUGGUAAUCAGGACUAAGUCGUAACAAGGUAUCCGUAUCGGAAGGUGCGGAUGGAUCACCUCCUUUCUA